rnacentral:tRNA from 1 species
GGGGUUGUGGCUCAGUGGUAGAGUGCUUGCCUAGCAUGUGUGAGGUCCUGGGUUCGAUUCUUAGCACCA